UGGAAGUAAAAAGUCGUAACAAGGUCUCCGUUGGUGAACCAGCGGAGGGAUCAUUACAAGUAGAGUUUACGAACUCUUAAACCCUUUGUGAACCUUACCUAUCGUCAGUUGCUUCGGCGGGAGGCCCCUGGGAGGGGCCCCGGGGCCCGGCCUGAGCCGGGCUCCCGCCGGAGGAGCGCAAACCAAACUCUUGCUGUACCUCAGUGGAACAUCCGAGUUAAAAAUAAAAAACAAGUUAAAACUUUCAACAACGGAUCUCUUGGUUCUGGCAUCGAUGAAGAACGCAGCGAAAUGCGAUAAGUAAUGUGAAUUGCAGAAUUCAGUGAAUCAUCGAAUCUUUGAACGCACAUUGCGCCCGCCAGUAUUCUGGCGGGCAUGCCUGUUCGAGCGUCAUUUCAACCACUCAGGCCCUGGUGCCUGGCGUCGGGGUUUCUUGCUUCGGUAAAAUCCCCUAGAAUCAGUGGCGGACCCGCCGCGGCUCCGAGCGUAGUAGUAAAAUAUCUCGCUAUGGAGGCCCGUGGGGGGAUUACCGGCCGUAAAACCUCUUCUUCACGGAAGAACUUUCUCAAGGUUGACCUCGGAUCAGGUAGGAAUACCCGCUGAACUUAAGCAUAUCAAUAAGUCGGAGGAA
rnacentral:rRNA from 1 species